rnacentral:rRNA from 1 species
GGGUUGUGAGGUUAAGCGACUAAGCGUACACGGUGGAUGCCCUGGCAGUCAGAGGCGAUGAAGGGCGUGCUAAUCUGCGAUAAGCGCCGGUAAGGUGAUAUGAACCGUUAUAACCGGCGAUACCCGAAUGGGGAAACCCAGUGUGACUCGUCACACUAUCAUUAACUGAAUCCAUAGGUUAAUGAGGCGAACCGGGGGAACUGAAACAUCUAAGUACCCCGAGGAAAAGAAAUCAACCGAGAUUCCCCCAGUAGCGGCGAGCGAACGGGGAGGAGCCCAGAGCCUGAAUCAGCAUGUGUGUUAGUGGAAGCGUCUGGAAAGGCGCGCGAUACAGGGUGACAGCCCCGUACACAAAAGCGCAUGUGCUGUGAGCUCGAUGAGUAGGGCGGGACACGUGGUAUCCUGUCUGAAUAUGGGGGGACCAUCCUCCAAGGCUAAAUACUCCUGACUGACCGAUAGUGAACCAGUACCGUGAGGGAAAGGCGAAAAGAACCCCGGCGAGGGGAGUGAAAAAGAACCUGAAACCGUGUACGUACAAGCAGUGGGAGCACCCUUCGGGGUGUGACUGCGUACCUUUUGUAUAAUGGGUCAGCGACUUAUAUUCUGUAGCAAGGUUAACCGAAUAGGGGAGCCGGAGGGAAACCGAGUCUUAACCGGGCGUUAAGUUGCAGGGUAUAGACCCGAAACCCGGUGAUCUAGCCAUGGGCAGGUUGAAGGUUGGGUAACACUAACUGGAGGACCGAACCGACUAAUGUUGAAAAAUUAGCGGAUGACCUGUGGCU